CCUACGGGAGGCAGCAGUGAGGAAUAUUGGUCAAUGGGCGCGAGCCUGAACCAGCCAAGUCGCGUGAGGGAUGACGGAUCUAUGGAUUGUAAACCUCUUUUGUCAGGGAGCAAAAGACGCCACGCGUGGCGUUUCGCGAGUACCCGAAGAAAAAGCAUCGGCUAACUCCGUGCCAGCAGCCGCGGUAAUACGGAGGAUGCGAGCGUUAUCCGGAUUUAUUGGGUUUAAAGGGUGGGCAGGCGGAGGUUAAAGUCAGCGGGAAAAGCGUGAGGCUCAACCUCGUCGAGCCGUUGAAAAUGGUGUUCUUGAGUGAGUGAGAAGUAUGCGGAAUGCGGGGUGUAGCGGUGAAAUGCAUAGAGAUCACGCAGAACUCCGAUUGCGAAGGCAGCAUACCGGCGCUUAACUGACGCUCAUGCACGAAAGUGUGGGUAUCGAACAGGAUUAGAUACCCUAGUAGUC
rnacentral:rRNA from 1 species